GGGCACUAAGUGGCUGAGGGGCAGUCCUCAGCCUAUCACAUUCAUAUUCAAAGAUGCUAGCCAGUGUUUUUGCUAGUUUCUGUGUUUGCUCCCACUCAUCCACCUCUCUACAGUGAAUGACUGUCAAUGUUGGAACAAGGUGCUGUUGACUGCACUUGAGAGAAGUCUCUUUGGCCUCCUUUUCACAGUUCAUGAAGGCUUUUCUCUGUUGCUUUAAUCUUUUUAAUAUUCAUAGUAUGGUGAAGUAUUAGGUCUCUUUUGUGUCUUUGUAAUAUGCAUGUGUCCAACUAUGAGUUGCAAAGGAGCUGCUUUUCCUGGUUAUCCUAUCACUGGUUAGUACCAGGUUUCUCCCUUGGAAACAGCUGGUGCUGCCCUCUGUUAGAGACAGGGUACUAGACUAAAACAACCCUCUGAUCAUUGACUUUUGUCUUGUCUAGUCUGGAAUUUGCUGUAUUCCUACCUAAUUUAUAGGCAAGGGAGUAAAUCUGGGUGUUCUGAGGAGAUGUGAAAGGAGAUAGUGAGAUAUAGCACAGUAACGUAGGAAGAUGGUUCCAAACCAGAGGUACAGAGAAGACUUUUCUCGCAGUGAUAGCCAAGUUGCCCAAGAGGGAAGGCCUGUACUAAGGACUGAAUGGAAUAGAGAUCCUGAGCUAGUUACAAAUACCAUCCCUAGGACACCCUAAAAAAAUUGAUCUGUAAUUAUGAAAUGAGAUGUUAGCUAUUUAUGGACUAAGGGCUUGGUUAACAGUGAGGCCUAGACUUCUUUUUAGUGAAACCCUUAAAUAUGUGCUUAACUACACAAACACAGAGUCCCAGUGACCUUGCUGGGACUAUUCACCUGCUCAAAAUUACACGUGUGCUGCAUCAGGAAAUGAAUCUGUUCUUUUUUUCUGUUUUUUUUUCCUCUGGUACCUUUUUAGGUUUGUAGGGUUGCAGGGGAAAAAAAACCUUGAACAAAUGAAAUGUCAUUUCAUAUCCAGGAAUAUACAUUUGGGGCAGGAAUCUAGGUCAGAAUGUAAAUUAUCUUUAUGCCUUCCUGAAGGAACAGUCCCUGAAAUGCUCUGGAUUUAACUGCAGUUGGGGACUUCCUAGACUUUGCAAGCACUUUAUUUUCCUUCUAAUGAAUAUGGAAAAAAAAAGUUGCAUAAAACUGCCAGGGGAUACAAUCCGUCUGAACUGCCUGCAAUAUUGUAUAAUAAAAUAAAUGUUAACAAUAAAUACCUUGUGCUCUUGGGGGGCAGCUUUUCAACAGAGCACAGAGAGCAUUAUUUUUUUCAGCCAAGUUGUCCAUACAUGCCCGAAUGAGACCCACUGGGCAGAAUCCUCUACUGAAAAUCAGUUUUGUUGUAUUGAGGUUCCAUUUGACAAUCUUGUUUAGGUGCCAUUGUCCUGACUGGGUUGGCACUGAGCCCCUGAAAUAUCUGGGUCUCAGCUCUUUUGAAAGCUGAGUACACUGUUGUUGCAUCCAUAGGUCACAAAAUCCUUUCUGAAGGUAAUCAAGUGUUGUCAAUUUUCUUUUCCAGGCGGGGCAGUGAUGACCUGAGAAGGUCAGGGUCUCCUUCUAUAAGAGACCUUUGAUUAUCAAGGUGUCAGGGGUUUUGGAGCUGCAGCUGUUCAGCUUCUCUGAAAAUCAGCCUGGUGAUGUCUUCAGGUGGACACCCAUGUUUAGGGACUACUUAUUUAAUUGGGGGCAAUUAGGGUCAUACCCAAGAACCCACAGAGUGAAUGGGCGAGGUAGAAAUGGAACCCCGAGACCAGAUUCUUUCUUUGAGGAGUUUAUUUAUCUGCUGAGGCAGGAGAAUCAGCUCUAGGCCUUUUACCUGUAGCCUUGUCUAUUAGACACCAAGUGACCUUGUGCAUGUGUACUCAUACCCUCACAUCAUCACUAUAACAAUUCUCCUGCCUCUUCCCUACUCCCUUCCUACACACAGUUGCAUAUUUCAGGAAGUGGCAUGUUACUCCACGUACUACUUUUGGCAUGUUCUGCUGUGCUCUAAGAGGAUGGCCCAGCAGAAUGAAUCUAGUCUUAAUCUGUCCUGAUGGAGAGAAGCACAUUUUUUCUCUCAAUGCAGACAGGGAUGAUUCUCAAUGCUGCUCUGAGGGGAGAGUUCUGAUGGCUGGAAGUGGGCAUGGCUGAUGUGGAACAAUACUCAAGAGUCAGUCAGAAGUAGGGAGGGAGGAGCAGUGGCUGCCACUUUCAUCAAAUAGAGAAACUUUCAGGGGUCCUGGAACUGAGAGAAAAAGUGCAAUGUAUUGUGGGUCAUGAUAAGGGAAGAAAGAUGCUGUGUAUAUUUUACUGUGUUGGAGUGUGCAAGGGCAGUUACAGAUGAAAUGUAUAUUGUUCAUCAUAUUUGGAUGUGUAAGGACAGUAAUGAGGCAUUGUAUUUCCAAUGCUGGGAUGUGCAGAAAUGAUCAUGGGUGUAAUAUGUUUUGCUGGGCUGGGUUGUGCAGGGAGCAGAGAGGUGUGUGGUUUUUUCCUAGACCAUGAUUAAUGACUCCCACAGGGCAGGGCAAGCCCCUCAUCAAUUAGAGCCUCACUGUUCACUUUUGACCUUUCUUCUUUCUCCUGGAUUUUAUUCUAUUUUAGAAACCAUCCAGUUCAGUUGGAUAGAAGCCACUGGUAGAAAUAACGAGAGUCACUAAUGCACUACACAGGAGACAAGACAUGAAUUUAUUCCUACAUUUCAGUAGGAGAAGAAAAGCUUCCAGUUUUAUACUUAGUCCACAACCAUUUGUACAGCAAAAACUACAUUUCCACUGUAAAUUAUUUGUAGGAAACUACAACCACAGACAGUAACUGAAAUCAAUUCAAUUGAAUUCAAUAGUAGAGAUACUCUGCCCCCCCCUCCCCCCAACCCUUUCAUUUAGGGAAUUAAAUCCUUUAGUGUAUUCUAUUUACCACACAGUCAGUGUUUAUUUGUUUCAGUGUUAACAUUCUUUUUCUUUUUUGUCUAUAAUCAGAAGCAAUUUUUCAGUUAUAUUCAUGGCGAACGCUAAAACAAAAAUAGGUACAUUAUGAAUAUUAAAUUCAUGCAAACAAAGCCCUGAAUUAAACUGUGCUGCAUGUUUGUAUAUAUUUUUGCAUGGUGCAUAAAGACGACAAUAUAUUUUUCUUUUCUUCCUCUUUCAUGUUUUAUGUGCAUGAAAUAAGAUUGGAAGAAACAGUGAGAUCCCUGGAUGAAACAGCCAAAAGAGAAGGAAGACCUAUUUCUGUGAGUUGAUUAGCUAACGGCAGAGUAUUCAGGGAGGGAUGAAGCACAUGCAGAAGGUGAACUUUCAACUUGGAAUACCUGUACUGUGACUGAAGUGGGGCAGGACAGUAGGAAAACUGAAGUAGAGAGAUUUGGUUCAGCAAGAGCUAUUUGAAGUACUUGGCUCUCACUCUGUCCUUGACUAGAUGGUCUUCUUGGCACACUUGUCACAUCCUUGGCACACUGGCUAGAUUGUUACGUCUCAGCUGUGUGUUCUUGGGCAACCCUGGCACAGGAUGCAGUCUGUCUGACUCACAAAGGACUCACCCCCCCCCUCCUCUCCUCUACGUAAACGAAACUGAUUAAGAUGCAGUGAGAGACGCACCUAAGACCCUCAAGAUAAGGGUGACAAGAGUGAACCAACUGCCCUAGGUCUCAUUUGCAUCCAAGAUGGAACCAGAUGACCAUUCAUUUACAUGAGAGAUGGAGAACAGAAAGCCUGAAGCAGAGACUGCAGUGAAUUCUGGGACCAGAGAAGCAGGGGAGCACCGCAUGAUGGGGAAUCUGUGCUCUAAAUGUUAAUCAACCCAUGUUCACACACACCCAGCUCAGCAUUUAUCAGACCAGUUCUAAUGUGGAUUUACUAAGGACUCCCCCCCCUCUAAGUUUAAUAGGCAUCUCGGGCCGUACAUUCCCCGGUCCCACUAUGGGAGGCCUAUUUAAACUUGAUUGACUAAAACUCGAUUGCUGGGUUAGGGAAUGCUGAGGCAAGAGACCGAGUCAGAGGGGGUAUGGGCGCAACAUUUGAACAAUGGUUAAGGGUUCAUCACAGCAUCCAGCCCACUGGAGCCCUAAUCACAGGUGUUGUCAUACUUUUCUCGAGAUGACUGGUGGGAGUCCUCUCCACAAAAGGUUAUGAGCACCGCAAUAAUUGCUUUAAGUCUGUUAAAAGACUAUAGUAAGAUCUGGAAAAGUCAUGCUAAGCUGAGGCUUGUGCACAACAAGUGAAAAUCCAAAAUCCUGAUGCUGCAAGCUAUCUAUUGUUUCUGAAGAAACCAUGAGAUAUCCCAUCAGUAUAUCUGCUAUCCAUAGGAAUUUCAAGCUGGCUCCCAAGUAUUUGGUUACUCCCUAAUCUUAAGUGUUUCCUGAUUAUCAAUCAGUUUCUUGAGAUGUUCCAAACCAGAUAACCCCUUGUCAAUAGAAAAGACAAUGAUUUAUACAAUUAAGGAUUCUUCUAAGCAGCUGAACUGAGGGUAUAAAAAUCUGUAAAAAGUGUGUGUGCUUCAAGAAGAAGGAGAAGAAGAAGGAAGAAGAAGGAAGGAAAGAAGAAGAAAGAAGAAAACUCCUGUGCUGACACCAUCAUCCCCUGUUGUUCUUGGGAUGCUGGAAGAACAGAUCAUCUCCCUUCAAGGACUGUGCCUGUCAGCUCUGCAGCCUGAGUACCUUGUGUGGUGAGAUCCCAGCACUCUCUCUCUCUCUCUCUCUCUCUCUCUCUCUCUUUUCUCUCUAGGCAUAAACUUCUGAACCUGAACUGUAUUAGUUAAGCUUGAGCUAAGUUUCCCCAAAUACUUAGUGAAACCAGGGUAGUAUUGUAAUUGUUUGUGGUUGUUUUUCUUUUGUAUGUCUCUUACUACUAGUACCAUUAUAUAUUUCAUAUGCUUAGCAAUAAAUAACUUUUAUAGUCAAACUGGUAGUAAUUGGCUAUAUUUUUCCUUCUCUGUUUCUCUUUCCCCCCGUGCUGUGCAGCAACGCUUCUUUUACCUAUGCUAAAGAUCCCUGUGAAGCCCAAAAAUAUUGUGGGGUCUGCUCAUCAAGAGGCCAAAGAUUGGGACGUGCUGAGUUUGAAACACAUAAGGGGAUCAGCUUGUACAGGCUGAUUGACCCAGUUUGACUCAGACGUGCCCUUAUGAACUGAAUGCUGGCCCAUGAGGGUGUCAGCUGGACACCCAGCCAGACUCAGAGGGAUUCUGUUUACCUGUGUGCUUGUGUCUGACUGCAUUUUAUUGUUGCUCUUAUGAACUGAUUCUG